AGAUGUGAGGGCGAUCUGGUUGCGACAUCUGUCACCCCACUGAUCAGCAGCGUUAAUUCUGCAGAUCUAGCUGGCUGAGCGGGUGGCCCCUUCUUCCCUCACCGCACAGUGUGCAUCCCUCCCGAAGCUGCAUGCUCAGUAGAAGAGGACAACCUUCCCCAUAGAAGGAAGACUGUCCUUCAGUCAAGGGUAUACGAGUAGCUCCGCUCCCCUGCUAGAACCUCCAAACAAAUCUCAAGAUACAAGACAAUUUCACGUAAAAAUCAAAGGACUUUAAGCAAUAUUCAAAAUAU
rnacentral:snRNA from 1 species